rnacentral:rRNA from 1 species
CGAAAGCCUGACGGAGCAAGACCGCGUGGGGGAGGAAGGUCUGUGGAUUGUAAACCCCUUUUCUCUAGGAAGAAGAACUGACGGUACUAGAGGAAUCAGCCUCGGCUAACUCCGUGCCAGCAGCCGCGGUAAUACGGAGGAGGCAAGCGUUAUCCGGAAUUAUUGGGCGUAAAGCGUCCGUAGGUGGAUGGAGAAGUCUGUUGUCAAAGCGUGGGGCUUAACUCCAUAAGGGCAAUGGAAACUCUUCGUCUAGAGUGCGAUAGGGGCAAGGGGAAUUCCCCGUGUAGCGGUGAAAUGCGUAGAGAUGGGGAAGAACACCGGUGGCGAAAGCGCCUUGCUGGGUCUGCACUGACACUGAGGGACGAAAGCU